CCCACCCAAGGGAGGGUGGAGCUGAGCAGGAAGAGAAGAGGAAGCUGCAGAGGAGACUGAGGAAGGAAGAAAGCAGGAUGGAGCCAGAAGGAGACCUGGAGGAGGUGCUUGGAGCCAGGAGACACAUGAAGAAACUGCGCUUGUCUUUUGGUCGUGGACUGGGUGACACAGAUAUUCGGUAUGGAAUAUGAACAGUGAACAUCUGAAGGUGAAAGUUGACAACCUAAAGAGGGAUUUUGUCUGCUUAAACUAAAAGAAUUGGACAUGAAUUUCAUUGUAUGGCUUUGAGUGGAAUCUUCCAGGAAGAUGAAACAGCUGAAUCAAGAAGAAGAGAACCCGCUGCCUUGUCCGUAGGCUCCAGAGACC